UCGCCGCGUCUUUUUUGUGUGGAAGUUCACAUUUUCACGCGGCUCAGCCCUUGCGCUUAACCUCUUCGACGCGGGGUCAGAACUUCACCGGUGUUGUGGCAUCGAGGCGACCGACGGACAUGGACAGGGAGUUCACAUUAUUCAUUCAUGUAAUUUCGAUUUUUCUUUUACGGAAGCGCGUCAAUGAGUCCAGUAGUGUCCAUGUCCACAAGUUCUUUUCUUACAGAUUGCGUGUAUUUUUUUUUAGGAGUUCUGUUGAAAAAAUAUAUAGAAUGGAAAACGUGCGACAUAUGAUUAUUUACCCAAGUCCACUUAAAAAAACUUUUGAAUUUGAUGUGUAAAACAAUUAAAGUUCACUUUUCGUUUUGUAGAGUUUGAUGUGUUAAACCAAAGUAGGAGUUCACUAUAUUCAGUUUCUGAAGUUCCUUUUAGUUCUGAACUUUUAUCUGAUGUCGUCAGUUAACUGUAUAGAGUGUUUCAGUUCCGUACCAGGUCUUACAUUUUGUUUUCAGUUAGUGGCAUGUUUAGGAACUAGGUUGUGUUGUCUGCCAAGACAGUACUAGCAGUAUUAUGAUCUUACGUGUGGGGAUGUUGGAUGCUAGUACUGUAGGUAGUUGAUUUGCAUGCUCUACAGGGUGCGAGUUAUAUAUCCUCUGCAGCGCGUCGUCUGGUUAACCACCAGAGCAACCCAGUACACCUCAACCACCUCCACUUAAGCUCAGGAUUUCCCCUGAGCACCAACCGAACUCCACCACCACGGCGUCGACAGGAAGCAUCUGCACGAAAUCCUGGCGGCUUGUCCGUCCAUGGCACUCUUGUGAACUCCUACACGUUCUCCUCCCGAAGUUCAUUCGAGGAUAUUUUUUCUGGUACUUGAGAAGCCCACUCACAUCGUCCUAGCAUCACAUGCAUAUACAACAAGGACUCCCUGAUCACGGCCAACCCGAUGAGGCAAUGCUGCAGAGGACGAGGAAUAAACGUGGUGCUAGCCCUACGCUACUUCUUGGAGGUGGAUGCGGCUUGGCGGUCGCUCCCUGUCCAUGGCGUCUUCAAGCCCAAAUGUCGCGCCGCGGGGGCGUCUGUUGCAGGAACAUUCCCAGGACGGGCACGGCGCAGGCUGAGUGAAGCUUACUGAUACUAAUUUGUGGAGUUAACUUCUCUAUUCGUGAAUUUUGUGUGUCCUGAUACUUCAAUUUAGACUAUUCCCACAAGAUGGAUUUUUAUUUGAGUCUACUAGAUGGAUUGGUCGUGAAGUUCGCUUCUGAUAUUUGCGUUGACGGGUGGAUGACUUUUGUAUAUUAAUUAUGUGUGAAGUUCACUGUUAUGCA